UACGUAGGAUGCAAGCGUUGUCCGGAUUUAUUGGGCGUAAAGAGCGUGUAGGCGGCCUUACAGGUCAGCUGUGAAAACUCGAGGCUCAACCUCGAGACGUCGGUUGAAACCGUAAGGCUAGAGUCCGGAAGAGGAGAGUGGAAUUCCCGGUGUAGCGGUGAAAUGCGCAGAUAUCGGGAAGAACACCCGUGGCGAAGGCGGCUCUCGUGGGACGGUACUGACGCUGAGACGCGAAAGCGUGGGGAGCGAACAGG
rnacentral:rRNA from 1 species